UCUUCCCGAGAAGAGCUUUACAACCCUAGGGCCUUCAUCACUCACGCGGCAUGGCUGGAUCAGGCUUGCCCCCAUUGUCCAAUAUUCCCCA
rnacentral:rRNA from 1 species